GGUUGAUGUACCAUUGGAAGUUGUCCAUUUGACUGAUGAAUAUUGGAAUAAUGUGGUGUCAUAUAUCAUUGAGGAGUACAAAUGUGGCAGGACUCCAAAUCCAGAUGUCCUUUGUAAUACUAGGAUAAAAUUUGGUGCUUUUAUGGAUGCCAUUAGUGGAAUGGAAUUUGACUUUGUUGCUUCGGGACAUUAUGCAAAGAUUGUCCAUGCAUCUACUGAGCAGCUGGACGAACCUUCUGUCUUGGAAUUGUCAAAAGAUAUGGUCAAGGACCAAACCUACUUCCUUUCUCAUCUCUCACAGGCUCAGCUUAAACGACUUAUUUUCCCACUUGGAUGUAUUCAAAAGGAUGAAGUUCGCAUGCUUGCUAAGUCAUUUAAUCUACCAAACCAAGAAAGGAAGGAUUCACAAGGAAUAUGUUUUCUCGGCAAGAUAAAAUUCAGUGAAUUUGUUGCUAGACACAUUGGAGAAUCAGAAGGUAUUAUAUUGGAAGCAGAGAAUGGAGAUUAUCUUGGAAACCACCGUGGUUUUUGGUUCUAUACUAUUGGCCAGCGCCAAGGUUUACGUCUUCCUGGAGGGCCCUGGUAUGCUAUGAGCUCUUUCUUAGUAUAUGUACUAUCUGUUGUCUCAAGAGGUUAAGCAGUUUGAUUAUCUUAUUGUUAACUGUUUUUU
rnacentral:misc_RNA from 1 species